rnacentral:rRNA from 1 species
AUGCUCACAUGCUUCCAGACAUCGGUCAUUUCGUCAGCGAUGUUCCUCACGGCGAUGGCGGCCAAUCCGCUUGCUGCGAACCUGACGCUCAGCACCAUCGGGCAGGGGAUCGGGUGGACGCUGUGGGCAAAGGCGGCCAUUGUGCCAGGGCUGCUGUCGCUGCUGAUUGUGCCGCUGGUCCUGUAUGUCAUCUACCCACCGGAGGUGAAGACCAGCCCUGAUGCACCACGCUUGGCCAAGGAGAGGCUGGCAAAGAUGGGACCCAUGAGCACGGAGGAGAAGAUCAUGGCCGGCACGCUUCUGCUCACGGUUGGACUUUGGAUCUUUGGAGGAAUGCUGAGUGUAGAUGCAGUGUCUGCAGCGAUUCUUGGCCUAUCUGUCCUCCUAAUUACAGGAGUUGUCACAUGGAAAGAGUGUUUGGCGGAGUCUGUAGCAUGGGAUACCCUUACUUGGUUUGCUGCGCUGAUUGCGAUGGCUGGCUAUCUCAACAAAUAUGGCUUGAUUUCUUGGUUCAGUGAGACUGUUGUUAAGUUUGUUGGAGGUCUUGGUCUGUCCUGGCAACUCUCAUUCGGCGUCUUGGUGCUGAUGUACUUCUACUCCCACUACUUCUUUGCUAGUGGCGCUGCACACAUCGGUGCAAUGUUCACUGCGUUCCUGUCUGUGGCGAGUGCCUUGGGCACCCCUCCGCUUUUCGCUGCCAUGGUUAUGUCAUUCCUUUCAAACCUCAUGGGUGGCCUGACCCAUUAUGGCAUAGGGUCAGCCCCCGUCUUCUAUGGAGCCGGCUAUGUUCCGCUUGCCGAGUGGUGGGGCUACGGAUUUGUCAUCUCCGUUGUUAACAUCAUUAUCUGGCUUGGUGCCGGAGGCUUCUGGUGGAAGAUGAUUGGUUUGUGGUGA